rnacentral:lncRNA from 1 species
CCCCAAAUUGUGAUAUCUAUACAUAAAUUGAAUUUAAUUACAACAUAUGUAAUUAGGUCAUAUCUUGUACACUUUGCAUGAAUAGGCCUAUUAUAUUUUAUGUGUACAGUCCAUGAAAAAUAUAACGUGCACAAGCUUGGUAUGAUCUUUGAAAAUGUUCAUAUUUGAUUGCUAUAACUACCUAAUGUGCACAAUCGGCAAAAGUACUAAAAAAGUUCUAAAAUUAUUGCAUAUGUAUCAAUUCAAUCCUAAACAUUUUCAAAUUAGUAUUAAUUCAAUUCAUCUUGGCAACUUGGCCAAAAAUCAUUAACAUGGAUGGUAACCUUAUAAGAUAUGGCUAAUGCUAACGUAGACAUUUUUAUAAUAUUUUUAAUUUUUAAUUUUUUUUCUUUUAAUUUUUUUAUUUUUCUUUCUUUUUUUUCCCUGCACUUUGGCUAGCGAGGCCCCUAAGCCCCUUGCCCAAAGCCUUUGUGGCCCUCAUCAAUGAUUGGGGAGGGCUUGCCUAUCCUCGCUCGCUGGCCAAAGUGAAGGAAAAAAUAGAAAGAGAAAAAAAAGAAGAAAAGAAAAUAAUAAAAAAAUUAUCAAAAUAAUAUUUAAAAAUGUCAACGUAAAUGCUGACUAUAUCGCAUAGGACAGCUAGUGUCCGCAUCAACAAUUUCUAAUCUAAAUUGGUUGGAUGUGCUAAAUUGAUACAAAUAUAACAAGAUUUAAGACUAUAUUAGUUUAAUUGAGGCCUCGUGCGCACAAAUUGUAAGGGCGAACCGCCACGUUCAGACUAGGAUUCUUUCCUUUAUUACACUUUCCCGCCCACAAUCUAUGCUCCGCCAUGCUUCUUUUCCGUCCAUCGAGGCCUCGUGCGCAUAAAUUGUAAGGGCGAACCGCCACGUUCAGACUAGGACAGUCCCUCAACUAGGCUGCAUUUUCUUCCUCGUUCUCUCCAGAUAUUUCCUCGAGGGAGCGGCCCUUCGAUUCCGGCACCAGUAAGGUGAAGACACACC